AGUGAACGCUGGCGGUAGGCCUAACACAUGCAAGUCGAACGGCAGCACAGUAAGAGCUUGCUCUUACGGGUGGCGAGUGGCGGACGGGUGAGGAAUACAUCGGAAUCUACUUUUUCGUGGGGGAUAACGUAGGGAAACUUACGCUAAUACAGCAUACGACCUACGGGUGAAAGCAGGGGAUCUUCGGACCUUGCGCGAUUGAAUGAGCCGAUGUCGGAUUAGCUAGUUGGCGGGGUAAAGGCCCACCAAGGCGACGAUCCGUAGCUGGUCUGAGAGGAUGAUCGGCCACACUGGAACUGGGACACGGUCCAGACUCCUACGGGAGGCAGCAGUGGGGAAUAUUGGACAAUGGGCGCAAGCCUGAUCCAGCCAUACCGCGUGGGUGAAGAAGGCCUUCGGGUUGUAAAGCCCUUUUGUUGGGAAAGAAAAGCAGCAGGUUAAUACCCCGCUGUUCUGACGGUACCCAAAGAAUAAGCACCGGCUAACUUCGUG
rnacentral:rRNA from 1 species